UACGUAGGUGGCAAGCGUUAUCCGGAUUUAUUGGGUGUAAAGGGCGUGUAGGCGGGAGAGCGAGUCAGACGUGAAAUUCCAGGGCUCAACCCAUAGCCUGCAUUUGAAACUGUAUUUCUUGAGUGCUGGAGAGGCAAUCGGAAUUCCGUGUGUAGCGGUGAAAUGCGUAGAUAUACGGAGGAACACCAGUGGCGAAGGCGGCCUGCUGGACAAUAACUGACGCUGAGGCGCGAAAGCGUGGGGAGCAA
rnacentral:rRNA from 1 species